rnacentral:tRNA from 1 species
GAGAAAUUAGUUAAAAUAUAACCUUACCUUGUCAAGAUAAAAUUACUGGUUGAACCCCAGCAUUCCUCC